rnacentral:lncRNA from 12 species
CUGCCUUUGAACAUGUGUUUGAAGAGCUGGAAUUAAAGAACUCCUGUUCUUUGACCUCCUAGUGAAGGCAGCAAAGACCACUGAUGAGUUUGUCUGCAGUGAAACGUGCUGAUGUGUCUGGAUGCUCAAACAUCCCUGUGGGAAGGUGCUGAAAGAGCUGCUCAUCAUGGUGUGGUGACUCAGAGGAGCAAAUGUCUGGGGAAUUUUCACUGUGCACCUCCAGGCACCAGGGCAGGGCUGUUUCUGG